UUCCAAAGUCUUUAAUUAAAAGUCUGAGGCAAUGGCAACAGCAAUGCAAGGAGUCCCCUUGCAGAGCAUAAAGAGAGGAAAAUGAAAGCAGGUGUUGUUUUUUGCUCUUGGUAGAAAUUACCAUUAAUAUAGUAUCUCCUUCUCCGCCUCCAUCUUUCUGGUCACCUCCAGCGUUUCUCAUGAUGAUGGAGAAAUACAAAGUGCAUUUGCAAUCUGCCCUCUUAUCUCUGGGAUUAACCCAGAGUCUGAAGUCACCAUAAAUAACAGUGAUGGAAGCAUUCCACAGGUGUGGCAUUGAAAUAUCCUCCCCAGCUUUUAGCUGGAGAAAGAAAAAGAGGAUUUGAUUUGGGGCCUCUUUUGUGCCCUCAUUGAAACCAUAAUGAUAUCACAGAGCUAUACACCAGGACUCUUCUGUCCAAAGGAUACGGAAGGUUCGACUGUCCCAAGCAUAGAAGAUCCUGGAUUGAGAUUUUCAGCAAUGCUGUUAAAGAGCUCAUGAUUGGAUCUUAACUUACAGUGAAGGUAUUGGAGCACUGUCAACAUCGAAGCUUUAACAUAAGGCAUAGUAAAAUAAUUCAGUUGUUUUAAUUAUUUAAAUUAAAGAGGUAAAAACAAUGGAGACUUCAUUUUAUGCUUCCAAACUAAGGACAUAGUUCAAAUACCAGAUUCUCAGAUCAUUCAUUUCUAAACCAACUUUUACAUAUACAGGGUGGGGCAAAAGUAGGUUCACUGUGAUGAGUACACAAAACACAGUUUCUUCUCAUAUUACUAUUACUUAUCAUUAUUUUCCAUAUCAACAACUGACAAUCUACUUUUGCCCAUCUUGUAUGUAGUCUCAAGGCAUGUACUCAGAGCUGUUAGUCCACCCAGAAAGUCUAAAGAUUAGUGAGGGUCAUCCUGCCUUUCAGACACCAGCACUAACUCUGAGCCUUGUUUGGUACUUAGAUACCAUAAGCCUUGGGAAUAAAAUGAUGAAUUCAUAUUUGGUGUCACUACCAGGUAAAAGCUUCAAAGCAUCAGUCACUUCAUGCAUAAAAAUCUGCUCUGUCUACAGUCCUGCCAACCUAAUGGGCCAUGUUUUAUGCUGUGUCACCCAGUCCUCUUGAGACCCAGUGUCAAGAAGAUGAAAGUAGAAAAGAUAGAAACACCUAAAUUUGAAUAUUUGACUUCACACUGAAGGAGGAACAUUGUAAGACAUCAAAGAAAGUCCAUGACUCAACACCUUGACUCAGAAAAUACAGCCUGAACAUCUUGAUUUUGAAUAUCUACAAAAAGCUCAUUUCCCAAACCACACUGCAUGAAAGAAAUUAAUAUUCCCCAACCCAGAUCCUGGUGCUUACCUAACUAGGCAACUCUCAGUCCCUUGCAACCAAAGGUAAACAUCUAACAAAUGGUAUAAAAAUGUAGCGCUUUCUUUAUCAAAUAAAAGUAUAGUUCUGAUUGCCCCGAAAGAGUAAAGCAGAGGUGGGGUGGCAGUGAGGGUGAGGAUCUGUAAUCAUAAAUGUGUAAUUAUGUUCAGCAGAAAGGAGAAUCCAAAUCAACUUUAACAUAACUUGACUUAGACCUAAGAGAAGAAAGAGACAGGUAACUCUAGUUUCUGAUCCCCUUUACCAAUGCACAUCUUCCAGGAAACUUUUUCUUACUGUUCUAAGGAUGAGAUGAAUCAUUUACAUAAAUGUUGCAUAUCACUUAGAAUAAAUUGGAUGAAACCAAAACAUAGUAUAGUAAAUAAAAGAGGGAUUUCCUAAAAAGAUAUUAGGCAUUUUGAAACUGAAGGAAAACUAUAUUUCCAGCUUUUCCAAAACUGUUUUCAUAAACUUAUAGACACACAAAAAUUGCAAAGAUAGUGUUGAAAAGGUCCAUGUAACCUUCAGCCAGUUUCCCUCAAUGGUAACAUUUCAUGUAAUUAUAGUAUAAUGUAUUUAAAUAGAAAACAGACAUUGGGCAUUGGUGUGGGUGUGUAUAUUUCUACAAUUGUUUUAUCUACUGUAGAUCCAUGCAACCACCACUACAGUUAAGUCACCACAAAGGGGUCUCUUUCAAACUUUUCUACAGUCAUGGUCCCUCCCUCCUCUCCAACAUCCUUAACCCCAGCAAUCACUUUUCUGUCCUCCAGCUCUAUAAUUUUGUCUUUUCAAAACUGUUAUAUAAUUGUAAUCACACAGUCUGUGACCUUCUGAGAUUGGCUUAUUUUCGCUCAGCAUUAUGCCGUGGAGAUCCAUCAAAGUUGUUGAUGUAUGAAUAGUUCAUUUCUUCUGAUUCCAAGACAUUGAUGGAGCACAGUUUGUUUAAUCAUCCACCUAUUGUGGGGCAUGUUAACUGUGCCCAAUUCUUGGCUAUUACAAAUAAAGCUGCUGGGAACAAUCA